rnacentral:rRNA from 1 species
GACGAACGCUGGCGGCGUGCUUAACACAUGCAAGUCGAACGGAAAGGCCCUGCUUUUGUGGGGUGCUCGAGUGGCGAACGGGUGAGUAACACGUGAGUAACCUGCCCUUGACUUUGGGAUAACUUCAGGUAACUGGGGCUAAUACCGGAUAGGAGCUCCUGCUGCAGGGUGGGGGUUGGAAAGUUUCGGCGGUUGGGGAUGGACUCGCGGCUUAUCAGCUUGUUGGUGGGGUAGUGGCUUACCAAGGCUUUGACGGGUAGCCGGCCUGAGAGGGUGACCGGCCACAUUGGGACUGAGAUACGGCCCAGACUCCUACGGGAGGCAGCAGUGGGGAAUAUUGCACAAUGGGCGGAAGCCUGAUGCAGCAACGCCGCGUGCGGGAUGACGGCCUUCGGGUAGUAAACCGAUUUCGCCUGUGACGAAGCGUGAGUGACGGUAAUGGGUAAAGAAGCACCGGCUAACUACGUG